rnacentral:rRNA from 1 species
CGGGUGCACUGAUCCAGCCGGGCCUUUCCCUCUGUGGAACCCCAUGGCCUUCACUGGCUGUGGUGGGGAAACAGGACUUUUACUUUGAAAAAAUUAGAGUGCUCCAGGCAGGCCUAUGCUCGAAUACAUUAGCAUGGAAUAAUAGAAUAGGACGUGUGGUUCUAUUUUGUUGGUUUCUAGGACCGCCGUAAUGAUUAAUAGGGACAGUCGGGGGCAUCAGUAUUCAAUUGUCAGAGGUGAAAUUCUUGGAUCUAUUGAAGACUAACUACUGCGAAAGCAUUUGCCAAGGAUGUUUUCAUUGAUAAGGAACGAAAGUUAGGGGAUCGAAGACGAUCAGAUACCGUCGUAGUCUUAACUAUAAACUAUGCCGACUAGGGAUCGGACGAUGUUAUUCUUUGACGCGUUCGGCACCUUUCGAGAAAUCAAAGUGUUUGGGCUCCAGGGGGAGUAUGGUCGCAAGGCUGAAACUUAAAGAAAUUGACGGAAGGGCACCACCAGGGGUGGAACCUGCGGCUUAAUUUGACUCAACACGGGGAAACUCACCAGGUCCAGACACAGUGAGGAUUGACAGAUUGAGAGCUCUUUCUUGAUUCUGUGGGUGGUGGUGCAUGGCCGUUCUUAGUUGGUGGAGUGAUUUGUCUGCUUAAUUGCGAUAACGAACGAGACCUUAACCUGCUAAAUAGCCCGUACUGCUUUGGCAGUUCGCCGGCUUCUUAGAGGGACUAUCGG